rnacentral:lncRNA from 1 species
GAUCGGAGCCUGGAGCCGGUGUGUGCUGGGUGCCGAGAAGAGACAGCGCCGCCGGCCGUGGGGAGCGGACGCAGUGAUUUGCUCCCCCUCGUGCAGCAACCCCCACACCCAGCACCAGGCCCCCAGAACUCUCCUUCCAGCUGAACUCCCUGGGAACAAGUCAGUUGGGCUGAUCACUGAACUCACAUUUCUGGACCUGAGGAGCCUGUUCCUCUCACGCCCUCACCUGGCUGAGCCGCAGUAGUUCUUCAGUGGCAAGCUUUAUGUCCUGACCCAGCUAAAGCUGCCAGUUGAAGAACUGUUGCCCUCUGCCCCUGGCUUCGAGGAGGAGGAGGAGCUGCUUUCCCCAUCAUCUGGAAGGUGACAGAAAUGGGCUGGGAAGGUCCGGACAGCAGGGUGGAUGAUAACAUUUUGGGCAAGUUGGAGAGCCUUUGCCCAGAUUGGCCCGGCAAGGAGCGGUUUUAGAUUAGAGACACUGGCUGGAUUGAGGAGUAGAAGGCUCAAACAACCCAAGCCCUGAUCCAUUCUCACCUAGCGGCUACAGGAAGCUGUGUCUG